UACAGAGGGGGCAAGCGUUGUUCGGAAUUACUGGGCGUAAAGGGCGCGUAGGCGGCCUGCUAAGUCAUACGUGAAAUCCCUCGGCUCAACCGGGGAACUGCGUGUGAUACUGGCGGGCUUGAAUUCGGGAGAGGGAUGCGGAAUUCCAGGUGUAGCGGUGAAAUGCGUAGAUAUCUGGAGGAACACCGGUGGCGAAGGCGGCAUCCUGGACCGAGAUUGACGCUGAGGCGCGAAAGCCAGGGGAGCAAACGGG
rnacentral:rRNA from 1 species